AGCGCGGCGUCCGCUGGCGCCCUUGCCGCGGCGAGGCCAAUCCCAGGGAGAUGGCUGGGAGGUCACAGUAUGACCCCAAAUGCAUGUGCUCCUUGAUCCUGACAGGCGUGGCUAUACCUCCCUUUGAAUUUGCUUUCAAAGAUGAGCGUAUCUCUUUUACUAUUCUGGAUGCUGUUAUCAGUCCACCUACAGUUCCAAAAGGGACCAUCUGCAAAGAGGCCAAUGUUUAUCCAGCAGAAUGCCGGGGCCGAAGGAGUACCUACCGUGGGAAGUUGACAGCUGAUAUCAACUGGGCAGUGAAUGGAAUCUCAAAAGGAAUCAUUAAGCAGUUUCUUGGCUAUGUUCCCAUCAUGGUGAAAUCCAAGCUUUGCAACUUACGUAACCUUCCCCCACAAGCCCUCAUUGAGCACCAUGAGGAGGCGGAGCUAUAUUAGGUGGCUUUGCAGUGUUGAGUUGAGGUAAUCAAGAUGAACAGACAGUGCCUACUAAAUAGGAAAUGGGGGGCUAUUUUAUAAUCAAUGGCAUUGAAAAAGUCAUCCGAAUGUUGAUUAUGCCUCGGAGAAAUUUUCCCAUUGCAAUGAUAAGAC
rnacentral:sRNA from 1 species